CCCAUUAGCUGAAAAGAAACACACGAGAGUCAGAAGCGACAGAGUCAGAACAUCAGUGAAGAUACCACAGUAGGAGUGUGGGAAAGGAAGCCAUGUUAUGAGAAAGAAUUUGGUCUUCCGGAAUAAGACCCCGUGCCAAGGUUCGAACCCCUGUUUUGUGGUUUGAUGGAUUUUGGACAAAUGAUUUCCAGAACUCUGGGAUGUGAAGUCCUGUCAGUAACUGGGGAUGUGUGGUGUUCUGGUGGGCACAGGAGGGAAUGAGGGCGGCCAGGGUUAGGGCUGGAUGUAUGCAGAAGAGCCCUUCAGUGGGUGCUUAUGUUCUUGAACUACGUUCCACCCCCUUACUCCUCCAUAUUUAUUUAAAAUGACUUUACAUAUUUACUCAUAGGCGCAUAGGAAUCUGAAGGAUUUAGUUUUGUUAGGAACAUCUGGCUUUCCCAUUCCACAGAAAGCAACUGGACAGAAAGACAGUUGGGGGAGAGAGAUGAUGUUUUUUCCACUUGAAAGGAGGGGCUGGAAGGUUUUCGGGUGGGUCCGUGGUUGUUCAUCCCAGCAAAGGGAUGCUGUGCUCUUUGGAAGAAGGCCACGAAGCCUGGACUCUGGUCCCAGAGCUGCUUCAACCUCUGUGUGUGAUUGUGGACAACCCCCACCCUCUACAUGGGCCUUCCCAUUCUCUCUUGAGUUGUGAGAGGUUGGACAAUGUGAUCCCUAAGUUGUCUUUUGUACUUUAUUUUUAUUUAUUAGUAUUUGUGUGUGUGUGUGAAUGCACACAUGCAAAUGCUCACACACAUAUACACGUGUGCCAUGGUGCGUAAUAGAAAUCAGAGGAUGAUUUUGUGAAGUCAGUUUUUCACAAAAGGGACAGCAGGCAACUCCACGGUCAUUCCUGACACCUUGUUUGUCUCCAAAUUAAACAGAAUUUUCUCAGCAGCCCUGCCAGUAUGUCACUCAGACAGGAGAAGGUCGACAGGAAGCCUCUUCAAAAUGUUUGAGAGACACUGGCUGCUCUUCUAAGGACCUAGAUUCAACUCUAGCACCCACGUGGUAGCUUACACCUAUCUAACUCCCGCCCCUUCUUCUGAUCUCCACGUGUACAACACAGGUGAUUCACAGACUUACAUGUAGGCAGAACACCCACCCAU
ensembl:processed_transcript 5830418P13Rik RIKEN cDNA 5830418P13 gene